rnacentral:lncRNA from 1 species
GGAGAUCCAAGUUCACGUAUAAGGUUUUCCCCAGCAAUAACCACUGACUAGCUCUAAAAUUCUACUACUGUAUUAUCACAGCAUUCCCUUUAACCCAGUUAGUCACUAACUGAGUUUGUCCAUCUGUCUGUCUCCAGAGUUCAGACUGUUCUUCCAGUCUUUCUGACGGUGAUGCCCAGCCCCCUGGUGUACUCUCCAACUCCACCAGACUCUUUGUUAGUUUCCUCUCUCAUCAUCCUCUGCAUAGUGCUGCUAAAACCAAGGCCCAGUAAUGCCUAUCUGGAGGGAGCCAUCUCCCUUCAACUAGCCAUUCAUCUAGAAGAGUCUCCAAGUUUUUCAACGACCAGCCCAGUCCCCCCACCCUCCCAGGGAAUCUUCCCAGACCUAUUUAGCCCUUGGAGAGUUCCUCCUGUGAACACACACUUCAAUCAGGUACUGCACAAAAUAAUGCAGAUGCUAACAACGUACCAUCCUGAAUUAUUUAACAAGUCUGCAUGUGGUGGCAGAACAGAACCUGAGCUUUCUUCAGGUCAGGAAUACCAGAAGACUCAGCAUGAAACUCGUCGGAAGUGCUUAGGAAAUACUUGUACACAGAUGGAAAGAUGGAUGGUUCCAGCAGGCACCUGGGGAUAGGAAGUAGGCAUGAAAGGAAUGGACGAUUUGGAUAGCAUGGGGUCCUAAAAAUCAAUUUCACAUAUUUCACUUUGAAUGGAUCAGAGCCCGGGAAAUGAUUGGUUGACAUCUGUGCCAUGUUACAAUUCUUGUUCCUUGAUUUAUUUUAUCAACACAGGUGUAGUCCUCAGUGAUUAAUUGUCAGGCAACCCUACAUAGAAGAUAUUUUUCAUAAUGCCACCCCCUAACCUUGACUGACUGCUAAAAGCCAGGGUUAACAUAUUCCUUCUAAGCCAGUAGGACCACAAACUGAACAAACUGCUAAAAAAUGCCAUUUCAUCUCCACA